rfam:Bacillus sp. MTM 13 12, whole genome shotgun sequence.
CUCAGAGGAUCAAAGACUAAGAACGCCACGUCCUGUGGCAACGUCUUUGUGACCACCGUCCUGGUGG